CAACAAAAGCAUGCAACAAAAGCAUGCCUCCGAAGGCGUUGGCUCUGCACAUUCAGGUUUGCCAGUUAAAAGAGUCAACAUCUUCGAAUGAAGAGUCUGUUUUACCAUGUCCGAAAUGUCAGAUGAAAUUUCCUGUAGACAAAUUGAAAUGCAUGCCAGCCUGUGUGGAGAAGAAAAUCAAUUGGAGUCUUUGGAUCACAGCAAAGUGAUGAUUCUGCUGAUGAUACAGUAUAAUGUGCAAUUCAAGCUCUCAACAAGUGUUAUGUUUAGAAGAUCUUCUGGAGCUGCUUGCUAGCCGUAUAAAUGAAGAAAACCAAUUCCACAUUUGUGUUUCACGUGACAAUUUACUAAAGAGGGGGCUCAAGCAGUGGCAAAGACAAAAGAAAGGAAAUCCAAACAACCAGCUAAAGGUAACCUUCAUCGGUGAAGCUGGAGUCGACUCUGGUGCAUUACGGAAGGAGUUUCUUA